UCUUGCCGGCGGAAGAGGGCGUGGCUUGCGCUUCGCCGCGCUCCAUCCGGGAAUGCGGAAGGGGCGUGGCUUAGCCUUUGGCCAGGUGACCCAGGGCGUCUGGGGCUCCAGGUGAGAGAUGUCGGGGCCCAACGGGGAGACGCACCUGAGCCUGGGCCCGGAGGAGGAGGACGACGACGACGACGACGUCAACGGGGAGGCAGCAGAGUAUGCAGCCAUCAAUGCCAUGCUGGACCAGAUCAACUCCUGCCUGGACCACUUGGAGGAGAAGAACGACCACCUUCACGCCCGGCUCAAGGAGCUGCUGGAGUCGAACCGCCAGGCCCGGAUGGAGUUUCAGCAACACCUGAGCGAAGGAGAAGCCCAGGAGGCCGAGGCCCAGAGACCCGGACUGGACUCUUAACGCCGGGCUCAGCCCUCUCUUCCGGAUCAACGAUAAAACUCCCCAAAUCGAGACGGUGCUUCAUGGCGACGACGACGUGUUUUUCCCCCAGGCCUUCCCAUCUCUAGCCUUGCACGAAGCACAAGGAAACGGCUGGCUUGUUUUUCCCAAUUUAAUUUAACAAAGCAAAAAAACUCCAAGAAAACUAGAACAAUCCUUUUUUUCCCCCUUUCCUCUAAAAAGUAGAAGGCAAGGGCUGGUCUCCUUCCUCGGAGAAAUCUACACAAAGAGAAAAAAAAAAAAAACCUGCACACCUGCAAAAAAUCUUCUUAUCUGGCCUGACGUCUUGCGCUGCGCCUGAUGCCAGAGUCCGAGUCCUCGUCCUCAUCGUCCGGAAAGGACAAUUCGCUUUCGUUCCCUUGGUCUUGGUCCUCGAGGCAGUCGUCGUCAUCGUCGUCGUUCCCGGCAUCGGCUUCGUCGGCCUUCGGAGAAGCAUCUCCGCAGGGCUCAGUUUGCAGUCCGCACUGUCCGGAAGCAUCUGCCUUGGUCGAGACGGCACCCGCGAGGCUUAUUCUUCCGUCGUCUGCAACCUCAACAGUUGGGGUGAUGCCGUGCGUAUCCUCGCCGUCCCUUCCCGGGGAGAUGUUAGCAAAGCCAGGCUCCGCUCUGGAAGCAACACAGGUUUCCGCCUGGAUCGUAGCUUCCUUUAUGGGACUCGCUGCUUCCGUUUUAGCAACGGCUGCCGAUUGUCGGUUGUGCGAGGCGUCUUUCACAAGGAGGGAGGCGGCCUGGAGACGCAUAGCUUUGUACCUCUGCAAAGAGGAGAAACAAGCCAGGGUUACUAACAGUGACAAACUUCGGCCUUCCCUCCAGGUUUCAUUUAUUUAUUUAUUUAUUUGCUGCAUUUAUAGACCGCUUUUCUCACCCCUGGGGGGACUCAAAGCGGUUUACAACAUAAUGGCAAAUGCCAACCAUACAUUAGAAAACAUAACAGACUGAUCAAAUCAUAAACAAUAAAAUGAACAACAUCGAGUGUACUUAUCGAACAGCUGUGGCGCAGCUGGCUAGUUACCAGCUGCUAUAAAUCACUACUGACCGAGGGGUCAUGAGUUCGAAGCCCGGGUCGGGUUAAGCCUCCGACCAUUAAUAGCCCCGGCUUGCUGUUGACCUACCAUGUUUCCCCGAAAAUAAGACAGUGUCUUAUAUUAAUUUUUGCUCCCAAAGAUGCUCUAGGCCUUAUUUUCAGGGGAUGUCUUAUUUUUCCAUGAAGAAGAAUUCACAUUUAUUGUUGAACAAAAAAACUAAACAUUUAUUAUAUACUGUUCUGUAGUUGCCAUCACAAACCAGCAUAACCAGACAAACAGUGAAUCCUAUCAAGAAUUUCUUGUUACUACCAUUAUUUCCAUGUACAACACUCUAUGGUAUGUACAUUUACCGAUCCUUUGUUAGGUCUUACUUUCAGGGGAGGCCUUAUAUUUAGCAAUUCAGCAAAACCUCUACUAGGUCUUAUUUUCUGGGGAUGUCUUAUUUUAGGGGAAACAGGGUAGCAGCCCUGAAAGACAGUUGCAUCUGUCAAGUAGGGAAAAUUUAGGUACACUUUAUGCGGGAGGCUAAUUUAACUAAUCUACAACACCAUAAAACUGCCAGCAAAACACGAGGAAAAGAAUGAGGAAGUACAGCCACCAAUGGACAGUGAAGCAACAGCUCCCCCUGUGGCCGGAAUCGUGAAGCUGGAAAGAUGUUAAAAAUGCCUCUGUGUCUGUAUAAAUAACUGAAUGUUG